rnacentral:rRNA from 1 species
UACGGGGGGGGGCAAGCGUUGUUCGGAAUUACUGGGCGUAAAGGGCUCGUAGGUGGCCAACUAAGUCAGACGUGAAAUCCCUCGGCUUAACCGGGGAGCUGCGUCUGAUACUGGAUGGCUUGAGUGUGGGAGAGGGAUGCGGAAUUCCAGGUGUAGCGGUGAAAUGCGUAGAUAUCUGGAGGAACACCGGUGGCGAAGGCGGCAUCCUGGACCAUUACUGACGCUGAGUGAGCGAAAGCCAGGGGAGCAAACGGG